rnacentral:rRNA from 1 species
UGAGGAAUUUUGCGCAAUGGGAGCAAUCCUGACGCAGCAACGCCGCGUGGGUGAUGAAGGCCUUCGGGUCGUAAAGCCCUGUCAGGUGGGAAGAAUGUCCCGGAAUUGAACAGGUUUCGGGAGUGACGGUACCACCAGAGGAAGCACCGGCUAACUCCGUGCCAGCAGCCGCGGUAAUACGGAGGGUGCAAGCGUUAUUCGGAAUUACUGGGCGUAAAGCGCGUGUAGGCGGUCCUGCAAGUCUGGUGUGAAAGCCCCGGGCUUAACCCGGGAAGUGCAUUGGAAACUGCAGGUCUUGAGUACUGGAGAGGAUGGGGGAAUUCCCGGUGUAGAGGUGAAAUUCGUAGAGAUCGGGAGGAAUAUCAGUGGCGAAGGCGCCCAUCUGGACGGUAACUGACGCUGAGACGCAAAAGCGUGGGGAGCAAACA